rnacentral:rRNA from 1 species
UACGGAGGGAGCUAGCGUUGUUCGGAAUUACUGGGCGUAAAGCGCGCGUAGGCGGCUUUGUAAGUUAGAGGUGAAAGCCCGGAGCUCAACUCCAGAACUGCCUUUAAAACUGCAUCGCUUGAAUCCAGGAGAGGUGAGUGGAAUUCCGAGUGUAGAGGUGAAAUUCGUAGAUAUUCGGAAGAACACCAGUGGCGAAGGCGGCUCACUGGACUGGUAUUGACGCUGAGGUGCGAAAGCGUGGGGAGCAAACAGG